AUUAAAAUGGUGUAUUUGAAUUUCCUAGAAAUUUUUAAGAUAAAGGAUACUUGAAGACCUACAAGGAGCAAUUCACAGCAAUUUUGGCAUUUCGUCCAACAGGUAUUUUAUUCUGAAUCAUCUUGGUAUUAUUAAGUUAUUAACGGAGAAGCUAUUUGUGCCGACAGAGUAGUUCAAUUCAAGUGAAAACUUCAUCCUUCGUAUUUUUAGGUUGGACUUUCAGUGAGAGGAUAAGCAACGAUCUGGAACUAAUUAAACCUGUUUCCAAAAGAAAUAUUACGAUAUAUGGUAAGAUUAACUGCAUUUCAACAACCACUCUUCAUAUAAAAUAUGAACUUGUUAUUAGUGCUUAUUUGUAUUGAAAAUGCACUGUACUGGACCAUGGUGGAUCAGGGUAUAGUGUUCAUAGUAACGAUCUGCUUUCUGAUGCUAAAAUGCAUCCAGGUGUCAAACAAAACAGGCUUUUAAUUUGUUUAUUCUCUACUGCCCUUAUACCACUUCUGUUGGUUUUUUAAGUGUUGUUUAAGGUUGUGACAUAAGAAUUAAGAAAUACAGUUUAUCUGGCAGAGCAGUACAGUACAGUUUAUAAGUCCUUUUUCUUCCUUCUUCCAGGGGUUCCCUACAGUGAGCACUCCAGCUUCACAGAACUGUGAGAUUUUGUUCAGUUUUUGAGGCCUGACAAGAUAAUUCCAACUGUGAAUGUCGGAAAUGCUGCCAAUAGAGAAAAGAUGCAAUCCUACUUCCGAGAUUGGUUGAAGGGCUAAAGUCUCUGGCUCUCUGCUAUUCCUGAAAGAGAUUGAACUUUUUAUCUGAGAUUUCCAUUUUGAAACCAAUUUGCAGGGACUCAACAUUUAUUGCUGAUUGCUGAAGGUGGUCUAUGAAUUCUUUUUACACCUUAAUCAUUUGAAUUACAUGCUUUCACAAAUGCCUGCACAGUGCAACAGGUGUUUUUGACAUGUUACAGGUUGUGCCCCGGUAUGCUUCCUAUUUGUUGCCACUGAAAAUCUCCCUUCAAGGUCCAAAUGCAGGGCACACCACAAAAUAAAAUGAGAUGCCAUGCCUUCUGAUACUGUCUCCCGUGUACUUUAGCUUCUGCCCAUUUUGAAUAUUGUUGUUUAACAAACAGCAGUGAAGAUUCCUAUUAUUUUUUACGCUUGUACAUCAAAUAAUUGGUGUAGUUCUAUUCCGUAAGACUUUGUUAUAUCCAGUAGAGCUUUUGCUAAAGCUGUAUGGUGAUUGGCCUUAUGUAAUUGUAUUUUGAGAAAUAAACCAUCGUAUGAUUUACGAAGAUAGUGUAUUGGCUGUGGGAAA